rnacentral:rRNA from 1 species
UACGUAGGGGGCUAGCGUUGUCCGGAAUCAUUGGGCGUAAAGAGCGUGUAGGCGGUCCGGUAAGUCCGUUGUGAAAGUCAAGGGCUCAACCCUUGAAUGCCGGCGGAUACUGUCGGGCUAGAGUCCGGAAGAGGCGAGUGGAAUUCCCGGUGUAGCGGUGAAAUGCGCAGAUAUUGGGAAGAACACCGGUGGCGAAGGCGGCUCUCUGGACCGAGACUGACGCUGAGGCGCGAAAGCGUGGGGAGCAAACAGG